rnacentral:lncRNA from 1 species
AAUCAGCACUCAGGUGGAACUUAUAAAGGUCUCCUGGUCCUUGGAUAUUUUCCUGGGUCUCAUGCUAGGAAAGUCUGCAGCAGGAAGAUGCUAAAGACCUGAGAAGUUCAUGCAAUGGAAAGAAGUGGGCCUUUCAGUCAAAGAUGUGGAAUUAAAUUCUGAUGUGACAAACCAAGAUGGGCAAAUGAUUUUAGGUCCUUGAAUCUCAGGGUCCUCCUUUAUAAAACAGCCUGACCUCAUCAAGUUGAUAUUACGGGCAGCAUGAGAUAAUGUAUGCACUGCCGUUUGGAAUGAAAAAUGGUACGGCUGUAUGGAAAAUAAUUUAGAAGAUCUUCAAAAUUUAAAAUUACCACAUGAUUCAGAAAUCCCACCUUUAGGUGUGUAUCAAAAGACUUAAAAACAGGUAUGUAAACAAACACGUGUAAAUGCACGUUCAUAGCAGUGCUAUUUACAGUAGCCACAAGGUGAAAAGAGCCCAAAUGUCCAUCAAUGGCUGAAUGGAUAAACAAACUGUGAGAUCUAUCGACAAUGGAAUGUUACUCAGCAAAAAAAACUGAAACACUGGUAUAUGCUACAACAUGGAUCUACCUCAAAAACAUAUUCAGUGAAAGAAGACAGACACAAAAGGUCACACACUGUAGGUAUAUGAAUACCCUGAUAAUUAGGGUAAAAGCAGAUAUGUGGGUACCAAAGCCUGGGAGGAGGGGGGGGCAGGAGAAAAGCUUAACGGGCAUAGAGUUUCCUUUGGGGGUGAUGGAAAUAUUUUGAAACUAAAUAGACGUGAUUGUAUACAUAGUGAAAUGUGCUAAAUGCCACGGAAAUGUUUACCUUUAAAGUGGUAAAUUUUAGGUUUGUGAAUUUCACUUCAGUUACAAAACAACACCAAAAAACACAUGAGAUAGUGUGUAUGAAAAUAUUCCAUUUUUAGGAGUUUCCCAUCAUGGCUCAGUGGUAAUGAAUCCAACUAGGAUCCAUGAGGAUACAACUUCCAUCCCUGGCCUUGCUCAGUGCAUUAAGGAUCUGGCGUUGCCGUGAGUUGUGGUAUUGGUCAUAGAUGCAGCUCGGAUCUGGCAUCGCUGUGGCUGUGAUGUAGGCCAGCAGCUGUAGCUCUAAAUCAACCCCUAGCCUGGGAACUUCCAUAUGUUUUGAGUAAGACCCUAAAAAGCAAAAAUAAAUAAAUAAAUAAAUACUCCGUUUUUUUUCAGUGACUUACCCGGGGUCACUGAGGAUUGGAAUUUGUACAGGUAAAGGUCUAUGUAGAAAGGUCAAUAGGAAUAUGAAAUUUCUAAGGACCCUUUCUUAAGAGAGAAAGACAUUUUACUUUGAAGGGAGUGCCCCCUCAAACGUCUCCUCCCCUCUCAAUUCUCAGCCAGAAUCAGGUCACACGAGAAUUCCUAAACCAGUCACACCAGGAGGAGGGAGUAUCCUUAGACCCAUCAAGCCCCCUUGGAGCUGAGGAUGGGUCAGGUUCCUUGAGACCAUGGCUUUGUGUGUGCGUGUGUGUGUGUGUGUGUAAAUAUUGUAGGAGGAGAACCAGCUUCCUCUAGGACAAGAUAGAGGGACAAGGACCACACUUGGCAACCCAGUAACACCCCUGCCAAUUAGAUAUUAAAAAAGCUGGUUUCAUGGUCACAUGGAGAAGCCCAUACUUCUGCCUAAACAUGCGUUAUGGGGUUAUGGGAAGUGCUGAGCUUCCUCGCAGAGAUUCAGAAAUAGUUUACAACUCUAAAGGACAGUCAAGAAGGAGAUUAAAAACUGCUGCAAACUAUUGCCUACGAUGUCUAUAAAAUACAGGGACUGCUUUGAGAAACCCUCUCUUUUGGAGACACUACUGCAAGAGAUAUUACAGUGAGAAGUGACUUAGGGAGGUGGUUGUUGAGAGAUCGAUGGGGACCCUGGAGAGAAAGACCUGGAUGGAGUUUUGGCUUAAAACUCCCAGUAAGCCUGGAUUUAUCCUGCAUGAACAGAAGCCUCCCUAAGCUUCAUUUUAAUCCACAAAACAGGGAAGCAAUACCCUUCCUCACAGAGACCGUGAAAGAAUUAUGCUCAGGGGUGGAGAAAUGCUUCAUAAUUUAUGGGUUCUAUGGAGAGCUCUGACCAAAUUCCCUAGAAGUCAUGCUGGAUGGACAUGACUUACACAUGGCUUCUCACCUUAAAAUUAAUGUAUAAUGUAUCUUAGUAUAUCGGAGGGUUUGAAACAGUUCUGCACAUUGAAUGAAUGAAUGAAGCAUGAAAAUGCCUCACUGCCUCUACAUCCAGUAAAAUUGGAAGCAGAGAUUCCGUUUGGCCAGUGAGCUCCUCGAAAUCACCCAGUGGAGCUGGCACCACGUGGUUCCCAGGCCUGGCUCGUCAGCACACUUCCAGCCUUACUUAGAAAUCUCCAGCUCAUACACCACAGGCCUGGCUUAAAACUAUUUUUUUUUUUUUUUUUUUUUUNNNNUUUUUUUUUUUUUUUGCCUUUUAUGGCCACACCUGAGGCAUAUGGAAGUUCCCAGACUAGGAGUCAAAUUGGACCUGCAGCUGCCAGCCUACAUACACCACAGCUCAUGGCAAUACCAGAUUCUUAACCCACUGAGCAAGGCCAGGAAUCGAACCCACAUCCUUAUGGUACUAAUUGGAUUCUUAACCCAUUGAGCCACAGUGGAAACUUCCUUAAAACUAUUCUUUACGAUACUCAUUUCUAAGCUCCUUAUGUCAGGACUGGAUACAUAAUUUGGGGGACCCAGUGAAAAAUCAAGGCUCCUUAUUUAAAAAUUAUUAACAAUCUCAAGGCGGUGACAGAAGAGCAUUAUCCCCAGUUGGGGGCUUUCUAAACACAAGACCUUAUUUGACUGUUCAGGUCACGUGGUCAUGAACCUAGCUCUACUUAAUACCUGCAAGUGAGAAAUGCACAGAAUACAGGGCCCUUCAGAAUAAGACCUUCUAGUUUACAUCCUAGGUUUCUCAGAGCCCUAAUUAGCAUUUGUCUCAUGCCAUUUAAAUCACUUUUUUUUUUUUUAAACACCUUGGUCUCUUGCUACAAGAAGGUGAGGUUUUUGAUUGCAGGAAAUGUCUUACCUCCUUCUGUGCCUCUAGCUCCCAGCCUGGUGUCUGGCAUACCAUGGUUCCUAUGUGAACCUGGAAGUGGCCACCUGCCUAGAUCAUGGCAAUGUCCAACCUUUCCUUCUCUCAUGUUGACUCUGGCUGGGACCUCUGAAUCUUAUCCCAUGUCUGAUCAGUAUUUGGCUUUGACACCUGACCUUGCCCCUGGUUGCUAUGACACUAGGUCUUUUCUUGGACUCCUAGUACCUAAUUCCUCUCCCUUCCUUUGGCCUUUAGCCUCAGGGAUAGUUCCAGAGCUCAGAUCCAACUCUGAAGCAGCACGACCUAGGGUGAAUCUCCUCUAAAGCAGAUCCCAAGACAAGGAUUUGGGCCAAGCAUUUUAUUUGCAUGUUGAGGGAGUGGGAAGUUGAGAAAGUGGAGGGUGCAACGCUAAGAGGUACCUUCAUUAGUAGGUUCCAUUAUGGGCAAACUGGGCUCAGGCUGCUAGGGACCAUCUGAAAAGUUGUGCUAAACCCAGCCCUAAGUGAUCCUACCGGAAGGAAGAAGCCAGAGUAUUUAUUCACAACUGUUGCCUCUUCUUGAUCUACGGUCACUCUGGGAACUUUCCAGAAUUUGUAGUCUACCUUGGAUGUGAGUGGGAGUGCCCAUGGCAGAGGAUGCUCUUAGCCAGGAGAUGCAGGAAACCGCCGUCAUGGCUGCAGGUGCCCUAGGAAUAGAUGUGUGUGUGUGGUGGCGGGAGGGCAGAGAACAAGUAGAUCAUUGAUGACAUCCAUUACCCAGAGAAAUGGUGUCAAACAAUCCUUGGCAGAAAUGUUCCUAGAUGGUCAUGAACUCCAGCAAGCACAUCAGGGAUAGAAACUAUGGCAGGUAGUUUCUUAAGGCUGCUGUUACAAAAUCCCAUCGGCUGAGGAUAUAUGGUCUCACAGUUUUGGAGGUCACAAGUCCAUAUCCAAGGCAUCAGCAGGGCCAGGCUCCCUCUGAAAUCUCCAGGGAAAGAUCUGUUCCAGGCCUCUCAACUUGUUCCUUGGCGUAUAAAUGGCCAUCUUCUCCCUGUGCGUCUUUUCAUUGCUUUUCCUCCAUCAGUGUAUAUCUGUGUCCAAUUUUAUAAGGACGCCAGUGAUAUUGGAUUAGGCCCCAUUCCAAUGACCUCAUUUUUAAAAUUAAUGAAUUAAUCAAUUAAUUAAUUUUAAGGACUGCACCCAAAGCAUAUGGAAAUUCCCAGGCUAGGGGUUGAAUAGGAGCUGCAGCCGCCCCACAGCAAUGCCAGAUCAUAGCUACAUCUGUGAUGUAGCUCACAGCAACGCCAGGUCCUUAACCUACUGAGCAAGGCCAGGGACCAAACUUGCAUCCUCCUGGAUGGAUACUAGUCAGGUUCAUUACCCUUGGGCCACUAUGGGAACUUCCCAAUGACCUCAUUUUAACUUGAUGACCUCUGUAAAGCCUUACCCCCCUCCCCAAAUGAGGGUCACAUUCUGUGGUAUGGGGGAUUAGGACUUCAACGUAUUUUUUAGGGGACAUAAUUCAAUCCAUAACAUGACCGAAUGAAUAGAAAGCACCACCCAUGUCCCCCUCGGUCUCCCUAAGUGGGCAAAGACCUAUCAAGGAAAGGUCCCCCUCGUCUAUCGAGGUGUUUUAUUACAACAGUUCCCCCAAACAACAGCCGCUGGAAUUUUUCCCUUCACUUGCUCACACUAGAGAGAAAAGUGGGCUAAACUCUCUCAGCCGGAAGACAGACUCUCACCAAAGUGAUGUGCAUAUGUGAAUGGAAGAUGAAAGGCAGCUUGGCUUGCAGAAACUGUGGGGUGAUUCUGUCCAAAGGGAAGAUUCACUGGAAGCCCUUUUUGGUGAAGACUGACUAUUGUGGGAGGCACACAGCAAACUAGAAGGAAAUCCACAGGGGAAUCUUUGUUAAAAACUAAAAUAAUUAAAGCCUUCAAAAAUAGGACCUAGAGAAAAAGCUGAAAGGAAUUUGACAAUUUCGCCUGCAGAAAAGCAGACUGAGGUGUGGCUUCCCACUUCCCCCGCAUUUGAAAUGUGGCCAAAGGCACUCCUACUCCUGCUGAGAAGAGAGUGAUGGGAAAAAGGCUUAGACUGAAGAAGGGGAGAUUUGGAUGGGAUAAACUGAGGAGUGUUCUAGAAUUAGCCUAUGUGGUGUCAACACUUCAGGAUUGGUUCACUGACAGCAAAGACGUUACUUUUGCACAGACUUAAAGAUUUAUGCAGAUUCCUUUUACAUGCAUCACUUCAUUUCAUUCUUCCCACGUGCCUUUGCGGGGACAGGGGAGGUAACAUUGUAUAAACUGUAAAAGGCCGUGCACAUGAUUUGCAGAAGUUGCCCAUAAAAUGCUUAGUUUUGCCAGUCCAGGGUGCCUUGACUUCAGCGCUAUUGACAUUUGGGGCCUGAUGAUUCUCUCUGGUGAAAGGCUGUCCUAAAUGUCUGUCCCACAAAAUAUCUCCAAUCAUUGUCAAAUGCCCCUUGGAGACAGAAAUCACCCACCGUUGACAACCACUGAUUUGUCUAAGUCUCCCAAAUUCAGUUCAAGCCCUUUCAUUAUUUUGGUGCCCCCUCUGGGGAGAUAAGAAGUAUUAUUGCUCAGUUUUUAAAUAUUUGUGAAAGAUGAAAAGACAUCAUCACUGAUUUCCAGGACCUUCCAGACGACUGGGAAGUGACCUUGCCCCUUCCUCACUGUGGGAAGGUGGCUGUUAUGUGAUGCCCCCAAAGGGUGCAGAGGUCACAGGAGCCAUUCAGUCUGCCUAGCAUUUUAAGGAGGAAACAUUUCACAAAAAAGGAAGGAUUGAAACAAAGUCGUUAAAGGCUGAAUAGAGGUUAAUCUACUAGAUGUUGUCACAUGAUAUACAACUUUAUAUUCUAAAUCAGGGGUCAUCCCACGGGCCAUGGGUCAAAUCUGGUGUCUGUUUUUAUAAAUAAAGUUUUAUUGGAACACAGUUACAAUCAUUCAAGUAAUGUCUGCAGCUGCUUGCAUGAUACAACAUCAGAUUUGAAUGGUAGCACCAGACUCCACAGUGAUCACAGAGUUGAAAAUACUUUAUUAUCUGGCCCAGAGGAAAAAAACUUGCAGACCUCUGUCCAGGACCUGAAAUUAUGAAGGGGUCCUUAUUGAUGUCUUUCUGCUGCCUCACUUACCAUUGCUUUAGGCAAGACUGUCUAGUGUGUACAUAGCACUGUGGCUUCUGAUUUCUUUCUUGGAAUGAUCUUUAAAAUAUUUACUGUGAUUAUCAGUCCAACAAAUAGAAGUUCAGAUAAAAGAAUGAACUUGACAAAAUUAAAGCAUGAGUAGGCAAGUGAAUACAGGGUUCAAAUCCCCAGGUUCCUGAUUCAAAGGCUUUAAACUCUGUGAGUCUCAGUGUCUUCACUUAUUAAAAGCAAAUAAAGGUACCUACCUGUCUCA